GCCUGAGUGGCUCAGUCAGCGAAGUGUCUGACUUCAGCUCAGGUCAUGAUCUCACGGUUUGUGGGUUCAAGCCCCGCAUCGGGCU
rnacentral:tRNA from 1 species